rnacentral:rRNA from 1 species
CCUACGGGUGGCAGCAGUGCGGAAUAUUGGUCAAUGGCCGUAAGGCUGAACCAGCCAUGCCGCGUGCAGGAAGACGGCUCUAUGGUUUGUAAACUUCUUUUCUACAGGGAUAAACCUAUCCACGUGUGUUUAUUUGCAUGUACCCUAUGAAUAAGCAUCGGCUAACUCCGUGCCAGCAGCCGCGGUAAUACGGAGGAUGCGAGCGUUAUCCGGAUUUACUGGGUGUAAAGGGAGCGUAGGCGGCAGCGCAAGUUUGGUGUGAAAUAUCAGGGCUUAACUAUGGAACUGCUUUUGAAACUGUGGAUCUAGAGAGUAGGUGAGGUAAGCGGAAUGCAUAGUGUAGCGGUGAAAUGCGUAGAGAUCA